rnacentral:rRNA from 1 species
GGAUUAGAUACCCUGGUAGUCCACGCCGUAAACGAUGAGUGCUAGUUGUCGGGGGUCAUAGACUUCCGGUGACGCAGCUAACGCAUUAAGCACUCCGCCUGGGGAGUACGGUCGCAAGAUUAAAACUCAAAGGAAUUGACGGGGGCCUGCACAAGCGGUGGAGCAUGUGGUUUAAUUCGAAGCAACGCGCAGAACCUUACCAGCCCUUGACAUCCUCAUCGCGAUUUGUGGAGACACAUAUCUUCAGUUCGGCUGGAUGAGUGACAGGUGCUGCAUGGCUGUCGUCAGCUCGUGUCG